AGUGAACGCUGGCGGUAGGCCUAACACAUGCAAGUCGAACGGCAGCACAGUAAGAGCUUGCUCUUACGGGUGGCGAGUGGUGGACGGGUGAGGAAUACAUCGGAAUCUACUUUUUCGUGGGGGAUAACGUAGGGAAACUUACGCUAAUACCGCAUACGACCUACGGGUGAAAGCAGGGGAUCUUCGGACCUUGCGCGAUUGAAUGAGCCGAUGUCGGAUUAGCUAGUUGGCGGGGUAAAGGCCCACCAAGGCGACGAUCCGUAGCUGGUCUGAGAGGAUGAUCAGCCACACUGGAACUGAGACACGGUCCAGACUCCUACGGGAGGCAGCAGUGGGGAAUAUUGGACAAUGGGCGCAAGCCUGAUCCAGCCAUACCGCGUGAGUGAAGAAGGCCUUCGGGUUGUAAAGCCCUUUUGUUGGGAAAGAAAAGCAGCAGGUUAAUACCCCGCUGUUCUGACGGUACCCAAAGAAUAAGCACCGGCUAACUUCGUG
rnacentral:rRNA from 1 species